rnacentral:rRNA from 1 species
CUACGGGACGCUCCAGUGGGGGAUAUUGCACAAUGGGCGAAAGCCUGAUGCAGCAACGCCGCGUGAAGGAUGACGGAUUUCGGUCUGUAAACUUCUAUCAGCAGGGAAGAAAAUGACGGUACCUGACUAAGAAGCCCCGGCUAACUACGUGCCAGCAGCCGCGGUAAUACGUAGGGGGCAAGCGUUAUCCGGAAUUACUGGGUGUAAAGGGUACGUAGGCGGCUGAUCAAGUCAGAUGUGAAAGCCCGGAGCUCAACUCCGGGAUUGCAUUUGAAACUGGUCGGCUAGAGUGCAGGAGAGGAAAGUGGAAUUCCUAGUGUAGCGGUGAAAUGCGUAGAUAUUAGGAAGAACACCAGUGGCGAAGGCGGCUUUCUGGACUGUAACUGACGCUGAGGUACGAAAGCGUGGGGAGCGAACAGGAUUAGAUACCCCUGUAGUC